ensembl:misc_RNA Metazoa_SRP Metazoan signal recognition particle RNA
GCUGGGUGUGGUGGCUCAUGCCUGUAAUCCCAGCACUUGGGAGGCUGAGGUGGGCAGAUCACUUGAGGUCAGGAGUUCGAGACCAGCCUGGCCAACAUGGUGAAUCCCCAUCUCUA